AACGAACGCUGGCGGCAGGCUUAACACAUGCAAGUCGAACGGAUCCUUCGGGAUCAGUGGCGGACGGGUGAGUAACGCGUGGGAACCUACCCUGGGGUGGGGAAUAACCUUGGGAAACCGAGGCUAAUACCGCAUACGCCCUAUUGGGGAAAGACUAUGUUGCCCUGGGAUGGGCCCGCGUCCGAUUAGCUAGUUGGUGGGGUAAUGGCCUACCAAGGCUGCGAUCGGUAGCUGGUCUGAGAGGAUGAUCAGCCACACUGGGACUGAGACACGGCCCAGACUCCUACGGGAGGCAGCAGUGGGGAAUAUUGGACAAAUGGGGGCAACCCUGAUCCAGCCAUGCCGCGUGAGUGAAGAAGGCCUUAGGGUUGUAAAGCUCUUUCACCCGUGACGAUGAUGACGGUAGCGGGAGAAGAAGCCCCGGCUAAUUCCGUGCCAGCAGCCGCGGUAAU
rnacentral:rRNA from 1 species